rnacentral:lncRNA from 1 species
UCCACGUGGACGUUUGUUAGCGACCCUAUUAAAAAUUCUCACCCUGGACGUCAGGUUUGCACGUUCUGUUUCGCAAUAUAACAUAUUCUAUAUGAAUAAAUAUGUUCUGUGACGAUUUUGGGAUGCGCCCAAAUGUGUCGAAAUGUGAACGCCUCGUUUUUGCGAGUGACAGCAACAUUAGAAGUGCUGUCCAAGCAUCGUGUGAUGAACUCAGGCUGGCUGGAGAGGCCAUACCGGCUAAGGAUAGUGCGCGAUAUCUGGGGUUAGUGUAUGGGCCGGAACGGCAGUUCUGGGCCUGCCGCCAGCAGUUGUAUGACACAGCUAGAGCAGCUAUGUUCGCGUUGAGUGCAAAAUUAGAUAAGCUGAAGUUGUUCGCCCCAGAUGUGAGGAUGAGGUGUUUCGAUACGCAGGUACGAGCAAUACUGUUGUAUGGUUGUCAAGUGUGGGGGCCGUUUAUGCUAGCUGAGGUCUUGGACAGGCUCAGGAAGCGGAGUGAUGCGAAUAACCUUGCAGAGGGGCCCUUCGAGGCGUGCCUAAAGGACAGGGCAGUGCAGCUUCAGAUAUCUUUCAUGCGGCAAAUUGUAGGAGCUGCCAGACCAACACACCGCCUCUUGUUCGCAGAGCUAUCGCAGCUACCCCUACACUACCACGUUCUCAAGCAGGUUGUGAGGUUUUGGAACCAUGUCCGUUUACAGCGUGGGUCUGUGGCAUACCAAGUUUUGCGACAGGAGGUCGCAGAAUCCCUCUCCAACCCCGAAGGGCCCGGAUGGGGGACAC